ACCUACAGAAGAAGCGACGGCUAAAUACGUGCCAGCAGCCGCGGUAAUACGUAUGUCGCGAGCGUUAUCCGGAAUUAUUGGGCUUAAAGGGCAUCUAGGCGGUUAAACAAGUUGAAGGUGAAAACCUGUGGCUCAACCAUAGGCUUGCCUACAAAACUGUAUAACUAGAGUACUGGAAAGGUGGGUGGAACUACACGAGUAGAGGUGAAAUUCGUAGAUAUGUGUAGGAAUGCCGAUGAUGAAGAUAACUCACUGGACAGCAACUGACGCUGAAGUGCGAAAGCUAGGGGAGCAAACAGGAUUAGAUACCCUGGUAGUCCUAGCUGUAAACGAUGAUCACUGGGUGUGGGGAUUCGAAGUCUCUGUGCCGAAGCAAAAGCGAUAAGUGAUCCGCCUGGGGAGUACGUUCGCAAGAAUGAAACUCAAAGGAAUUGACGGGGACCCGCACAAGUGGUGGAGCAUGUGGUUUAAUUCGACGCAACGCGAGGAACCUUACCAGAUCUUGACAUCCUCCGAAGAGCAUAGAAGUAUGCUUGUGCCUACGGGAACGGAGAGACAGGUGGUGCAUGGCUGUCGACAGCUCGUGUUGUGAGAUGUUGGGUUAAGUCCCGCAACGAGCGAAACCCCUAUCAUUAGUUACCAUCAUUAAGUUGGGGACUCUAAUGAAACUGCCUACGAAGNGUAGGAGGAAGGUGGGGAUGACGUCAAGUCAUCAUGCCCCUUAUGAUCUGGGCUACACACGUGCUACAAUGGAUAGUACAAAGAGAAGCUUUGUAGCGAUACAUGGCAAAACUAAGAAAGCUAUUCUUAGUUCGGAUUGAAGUCUGCAACUCGACUUCAUGAAGUUGGAAUCACUAGUAAUCGUGACUCAGCAAUGUCACGGUGAAUACGUUCUCGGGU
rnacentral:rRNA from 1 species